rnacentral:rRNA from 1 species
GAUGAACGCUAGCGGCAGGCCUAACACACGCAAGUCGAGGGGUAGAACACUUCGGUGUUUGAGACCGGCGCACGGGUGCGUAACGCGUAUGCAAUCUACCUUAUACAGGGGAAUAGCCCAGAGAAAUUUGGAUUAAUGCCCCAUAGCAUUACGACUUGGCAUCAAGAUGUAAUUAAAGUUCCAACGGUAUAAGAUGAGCAUGCGUCCCAUUAGUUAGUUGGUAAGGUAACGGCUUACCAAGACGAUGAUGGGUAGGGGUCCUGAGAGGGAGAUCCCCCACACGGGUACUGAGACACGGACCAGACUCCUACGGGAGGCAGCAGUGAGGAAUAUUGGUCAAUGGUCGCAAGACUGAACCAGCCAUGCCGCGUGCAGGAAGACGGUCCUAUGGAUUGUAAACUGCUUUUAUACAGGAAGAAACCCUCCCACGUGUGGGAGCUUGACGGUACUGUAGGAAUAAGGAUCGGCUAACUCCGUGCCAGCAGCCGCCGUAA